ACGGAAGAAGGGGAUUACCAGGUAAAACUACGCAACCUGGUACGUUUCCUUAGUGAAGGGGACAAGGCCAAGGUAUCCCUGCGAUUCCGUGGUCGUGAGAUGGCCCACCAGGAGCUGGGCAUGGAGCUGUUGAAGCGGGUCGAGACCGACCUCGCCGAAUACGGCACCGUGGAACAGCAUCCCAAGCUGGAAGGACGCCAGCUGAUGAUGGUCAUCGCUCCCAAGAAGCGUAAAUAACCUCCCGGGCACUGGCAGGCCUGAUGGUUAUCAGUUGUUAACGAAUGCGGAGUACCAAACAUGCCAA
rnacentral:misc_RNA from 1 species